AUCACCACAGUGACUUACAAGCAACUCACUGUACUUUGAUGUUAGACUAACUGAGUUUCUAAUUCAGUGAUGAAAGAUUUUUGGGUGCAUUCAAAUACUUGUCAAGUCAGUACGUGAGUCAAGAUGAGAUUGACCCCUCCGAAUUAGUAAAAAUUAAUGUAUCAAUAUAUUUCAAUUUAACAAAAUUUGACUCAGAUAAUUUAUGUGAUGGAUUUGAAAGA
rnacentral:lncRNA from 1 species